AGGCAGCCAUUCAACCAGUGCAGAGCACCCCGUCCCUCAGCGAAGCGCUGCAGGGGCGGGGAAGCAUUGCCGGUUGAACUGCCUGCCUGCCCUGCCAGGAGGAGCCAAACCAGUGCAAAAGCGUGGGGCGAGGAGCCUGCCUGAGGAUGAUGUGUUCCCUGUCUGCGUGCUUGGCUCUCCUCCGCCUUCUUCACCACCACCACCCCUGCGAGGUAGGCCAGCCGGAGAGGGUUCGCUGUGCUUGAUGACCCAAGGCCGGGAUUCGAACUCGGGUCCGCCUCCUUGGGAGGACCGACAUCCCCAAACCGCUGCGCCUGGAUCGCAAAGAGAGUUUCCCCUUUGUCUCCCAGAUCAUUGCAAAAUCUUUCAGAGGAAUGCAAGAUCUGGCCAGGCUGUUAUAAACCUUUCAGAAUUGGAACGAAGAUGCACGUGUUGAAAGAGACUGAAGGAGAAAGGGAGAAGAAACCACCCAGGAAAAGGAACCAGAAAUGGCAACUUUUUGCCUCAGGGACUCGGCGGCCAUGUUUGGGCACAGACCGAGAGGAAAUGCAGGCUUUAUUUCUAAUAAAGAAUACAAAUUCAGAGCCGAUAAGAAGCACGCGUGAGCCACGGACAGGAAGCAAAAUUUUCGUUGCGUCAAGUGUUCUCGUGAUCUUGAGGCAACCUCGCAAGUCGACUUGUUCCACAGGAUCAUUCUGCGCCGUCCUGUCCCGGGAAACAUACACACCUCUUUGCCAGGCGUAAAAGGCAGGCGAAGAUGAAGGUUCCUAAAAGUGGGGCUUGGUCUGCAAACCGUGUCAAGCACAGCCUAGAUGAGGGAGGGAGGGAAGCAGAAGACGGCAAGAGAGGAAUUGCACUGUUUUAUUUGGUAUAUUCUUGACGGGCUACACAAAGUUGGCCGUCGGUCCUCCGCAUCGAAGGGGUGAAAAAGUUUUUUUAACAUGCUCAGAAGCACUCCGUCACUCAUCACAGCAACGCUGUCCAAACAGAAGCAAUGGGGAAUAAGGACCAGGAGCUUUGGGGAGGUACAGUGGGCCCUCGACUUACGAACCUAAUCCGUUCUGGAAGGACGUUCGUACCUCGGAAAGUUCGUAAGUCGAAGUACCAUUUCCCAUUGAAAUGCAUGGGAACGGAAUUAAUCUGUAUCUUAGGACCGAAAUAUGAACAAGGAAGUAUAUUCCUGGAGACAGAGCACAAACUUCUAGCAGAGAAAUAUUGUUUUUCCCCUGCUGAUUUUUAGCACUUUAAAAACAAAAUCCUACCUUACUUAAAAUAUACAGUAAUACCAUUUCAGGUAUUUUUU